AAAAGCUUGUCGGGGAGAUCUGAGUGCUUAGAGCAUCCCUUUAAAUCCUUUAACGAGGAUCCUUUGGAGGGCAAGUCUGGUGCCAGCAGCCGCGGUAAUUCCAGCUCCAAUAGCGUAUAUUAAAGUUGCUGCAUUUAAAAAGCUCGUAGUUGGAUCUUGGGAGCGGGCGGGCGGUCCACCGCGAGGCGAGCCACCGACCGUCCCCGGGCCUUGGGUGUGGGAACCCCCUCAAUGCUCUUAACUGACUGUCCCGCGGAGGCCAAAGGGUUUAAUUUGACAAAAUUAUACUGCUUAAGACUGUCUCCGAGCGGGGACGCAGGGGGUUUCGGUCAAAUAGAACUCUUCAACCCGGGCGGCGUGGUAUUGAGA
rnacentral:rRNA from 1 species